rnacentral:rRNA from 1 species
AGGACGAACGCUGGCGGCGUGCUUAACACAUGCAAGUCGAGCGGAAAGGCCCUUCGGGGUACUCGAGCGGCGAACGGGUGAGUAACACGUGAGCAACCUGCCCUCAGCUCUGGGAUAGCUCCCGGAAAACGGGAAUUAAUACCGGAUACGACCCCGACCGACAUCGGUCAGGGUGGAAAGUUUUUCGGCUGAGGAUGGACUCGCGGCCUAUCAGCUAGUUGGUGGGGUAACGGCCCACCAAGGCGACGACGGGUAG